GCAGUCGCCGCGGUAAUACAGAGGGUGCGAGCGUUAAUCGGAUUUACUGGGCGUAAAGCGUGCGUAGGCGGCUUUUUAAGUCGGAUGUGAAAUCCCUGAGCUUAACUUAGGAAUUGCAUUCGAUACUGGGAAGCUAGAGUAUGGGAGAGGAUGGUAGAAUUCCAGGUGUAGCGGUGAAAUGCGUAGAGAUCUGGAGGAAUACCGAUGGCGAAGGCAGCCAUCUGGCCUAAUACUGACGCUGAGGUACGAAAGCAUGGGGAGCAAACAGGAUUAGAUACCCCCGUAGUCCCUGUCUCUUAUAA
rnacentral:rRNA from 1 species